AUGCUGGUGUGCUGCCGCAGAAUAUUCCUCCAACAGCAAACUUUGUUCACUGAAAAAACCUCAGAGGCUGUGCACGUGCGGGCGAGAAGAUGGCGGCGGCGGGGGAAGCAGCGGGAGCAGCCGGAGGAGCGCCGAGUCCCAUUGAAACGCGCAGCCACGGCCCUCCACAGCCCGCAGUAUAUUUUUGGAGAUUUUAGCCCUGAUGAAUUCAAUCAGUUCUUUGUGACUCCUCGAUCUUCAGUUGAGCUUCCUCCGUACCGUGGAACAGUUCUGUGUGGCAUACAGGCUGUGGAUAAACUACCUAAUGGACAGGAAUAUCAGAGAAUUGAGUUUGGUGUCAAUGAAGUCAUUGAAUCCAGUGACACGUUGCCGAAAACCCCAGCUACAGUAUUUCAAGCACACUGAACCCUCAGGCCCCUGAAUUUAUUCUCGAUUGUACAACUUCCAAAACAACCCCUGAUGGUAUAACUAAAGAAGCAAAUUAUAGAGCUCCACCGACUGCCAGUACCCAGGCUCUGCCCUCGCUUUGGAUGGAAGUUCUAAUGUGGAGGCGGAAGUUUUGAAAAAUGAUGGUGUCUCAGGUGGUCUUGGACAAAGGGAGCGUAAAAAGAAGAAAAAGUGGCCACCUGGAUAUUACAGUUAUUUGAAAGAUGGUGGUGAUGAUAGUAUUUCCACAAAAGCCCUGGUCAAUGGCCACGCCAGUUCGGCAGUCCCCAACAGUGUCAGUGCAGAGGAUGCAGAAUUUAUGGGUGACAUGCCCCCGUCAGUUACUCCCAGGACUUGUAACAGCCCCCAGAACUCCACGGAUUCUGUCAGUGACACUGUGCCUGACAGUCCUUUCCCCGGAGCACUCGACAGUGACACCAGGACUGCGGGUAGCCGGAGGGGGUCCCCAGGGCUAAUUUUGGCGAGUCCUGCUUCUCUGCAGAGGCUGACAGAGACACCCCGUCAAGGACAGCUAGGGCUCAGCCCUGCGUUGGUACCGAUACUACUGAAAGCCUUAGAGUUGCUAAUGGGCAAAUACUUGAAUCCUCGGGUGAGGGCACAGCUACCAACGGAGUGGAGUUGCACACCACGGAAAGCAUAGACUUGGACCCAACCAAACCCGAGAGUGCAUCACCUCUGGCUGACGGCACGGGCUCUGCAUCAGGCACCCUUCCUGUCACCCAGCCCAAGUCCUGGGCCAGUCUCUUUCAUGAUUCUAAGCCCUCUUCCUCCUCGCUGGUGGCCUAUGUGGAAACUAAGUAUUCCCCUCCCACCGUAUCUCCCCUGGUUUCUGUAAAGCAGGUUGAAGUCAAAGAAGGGCUUGUUCCAGUUUCAGAGGAUCCUGUAGCCAUAAAGAUUGCAGAGUGACUGGAGAAUGCAACCCUAAUCCAUAAACCAGUGUCGUUGCAAACCCACGGGCUGAUCAGUAAAGGGAAGUGGUGCUACAUUAAUGCUACACUGCAGGCACUGGCUGCCUGCCCGCCGAUGUACCACCUGAUGAAGUUCAUUCCUCUGUAUUCCAAAGUGCAAAGGCCUCGUACGUCAACACCCAUGAUAGACAGCUUUGUUCGGCUAAUGAAUGAGUUUACUAAUAUGCCAUACCUCCAAAACCCCGACAAGCUCUUGGAGAUAAAAUCGUGAGGGGCAUUCACCCUGGAGCUGCCUUUGAGCCCACAUAUAUUUACAGACUCCUGACAUUUAACAAGUCAAGCCUGUCUGAAAAGGGUCAACAAGACGAUGCUGAAGAAUUCUUAGGCUUUAUCCUAAAUGGACUUCAUGAGGAAAUGUUGAACCUAAAGAAGUUUCUCCCACCAAAUAAUGAAAAACUUACGAUUUCCAAUGGCCCCCAAAACCACUCUAUUAAUGAAGAAAAGCAGGAAGAACAAGGUGAAGAAAGCGAGGAUGAAUGGGAGCAAGCGGACCCCCGGAACAAGACUUCCGUCACCCGCCAGGAGGAGUUUGUUCAGACUCCAAUCACCGGCAUUUUUGGUCUGUGGUUUACCAGCAGAGUUCAAAAGAAUCUGCCACUUUGCAGCCAUUUUUCACAUUGCAGUAGGAUAUCCAGUCUAACAAGAUACGUACACCCCAGGAUGCACUGGAGAGCUUGGUGGCAAGAGAAUCUGUCCAAGGUUAUACCACAAAAACCAAACAAGAGGUUGAGAUAGUCGAAGAUUGACUCUGGAAAAACUCCCUCCUCUCCUUGUGCUACACCUGAAACGAUUCGUUUAUGAGAAGACUGGUGGGUGCAGAAGCUUAUCAAAAAUAUUGAAUAUCCUGUGGACUUGGAAAUUAGUAAAGAACUGCUUUCUUCAGGGGUUAAAAAUAAGAAUUUUAAAUGCCACAGAACCUAUUGUCUCGCUGCAGUGGUCUACCAUCACGGCAACAGUGUGACGGGCGGCCAGUACACUACAGACGUCUUCCAGAUCGGUCUGAAUGGCUGGCUGCGCAUUGAUGACCAGACAGUCAAGGUGAUCAACCAGUACCAGGUGGUGAAACCAACUGCUGAACGCACAGCCGACCUCCUGUAUUACCGCCGAGUGGACCUGGUGUAAACCCUCUGUGCCCUGUGUGUGCGCCCAGUGCCUGCUUCGUAGGACACCACCUCACACUCACUUCCCGCCUCUCUUUAGUGGCUCUUUAGAGAGAAACUCUUUCUCCCUUUGCAAGAAUGGGCUAGAACGAAAAGGAGAUGCCUUGGGGUUCGUGCACAACAUAGUUUCUGUUGACUCUAACUUCCAAAUCAAAAUCAUUUGGUUGAAACAGACUGUCGCUUGAUUUUAGAAAAUCCACAAAAACCCAUAUUUCUGAAAUAAUGCUGAUUCCUGAGAUAAGAAAGCGGAUUUGAUCCCCAGUCUCUUUGCUUAGUAGAAUAAAUCCUGCACCAGCAACAACACUUGUAAAUUUGUGAAAAUGAAUUUUCUCUUUCCUUAAAAAAGACAUUUUUUAAUCCAUCACACUUUUCUUCCCUACCCUUUAGUUUUUGUUAAAUGAUAAAAAUAAGCCAGUUAUCAAAGAAGAACUAGUUCUUACUUCAGAAGAAAAAUAAGCAUAAAAAAUAAGUUGCUGGUUCCUAACAGGAGAAAUUUUAAUAAUUGUGUGGAGAGAAACUGCUUACAUACACAUUACAGAUAAAAUAUUUGGAGUUAAAAUGUUAGUCUACAUAGAUGGGUGAUUGUAACUUUAUUGUCAUUAAAAGAUUUCAAAUCGCAUUCAUGCUUCUGUGUACACAUAACGAAAAAUGGGCAAAUAAUGAAGAUCUCUCUUUCAAUCUGCUCUGUUUAAUUCUACUGUCAGCUCUUCUCUAAUGCUGCAUCCCUAAUUGCACACAGUUUAGUGAUAUCUAGGAGUAUAAAGUUGUCGCCCAUCAAUAAAAAUCACAAAGUUGGUUAAAAAAAAAUAAA